UACCAGCACCCCGAGUGGUCGGGACGAUUAUUGGGCCUAAAGCAUCCGUAGCCGGUUUUACAAGUCCUCCGUUAAAUCCAACUGCUUAACAGAUGGGCCGCGGAGGAUACUAUAAGACUAGGAGGCAGGAGAGGCAAGCGGUACUCAGUGGGUAGGGGUAAAAUCCGUUGAUCCAUUGAAGACCACCAGUGGCGAAGGCGGCUUGCCAGAAUGCGCUCGACGGUGAGGGAUGAAAGCUAGGGGAGCGAACGGG
rnacentral:rRNA from 1 species